CUCGAAGAGGACGCACACUCUGCCUGAAUUUCAGCAGUCUCCAGCUUGGUUGCCUCCUGCCGCCCCGCUCCGCCUUUCCUGACAGAUUCGAGGAGACUUGGCAAGUGAGGACCUGGAACCGCUGUCAGGUCUGAAACCGAGAGGAAAAGUUCUGGAAAAGCAUCAGAAAGCCUGAAAUCUAAUCCUGCCUCUGGCAUUUACCAAGAUGUGGUUUGGGAUCAACUACUUGAUUUCUUCUGAACCUCAUUUUCUCCCUUUAUAAGAAAUGAAAGACUUGACACCAGAUGCCUACUUGAGCAAAUACUUCAGAGCAGAUCUUCAUUUAGAAAAUAAUCAACAAAUAAAGGUCAGUCUGAUUAGACCACCAGAAGGAUCUUGAAGGGUAGACAAAACAUUGUCUCUCUCUGACGGUUGGCACAGUCGGCAGGAUUUAGUUGAUGGUGUGGACACGGUGUUCUGAGGCUGCUGUAGCUGUGA